AAUGUUCGGAAAUGAACAGCUUGUAUAUUUUUGGAGAUAUGGUCCAAAUGUUUCUACCAGGCAGCCGUAAAUUGCCUAACUACUGGUUGUUUGUAUUGAGGA
rnacentral:ncRNA from 2 species